rnacentral:rRNA from 1 species
UAACUGGAGAGUUUGAUCCUGGCUCAGAAUGAACGCUGGCGGCGUGCUUAACACAUGCAAGUCGAACGAGAAAGGGAUUGCUUGCAAUCCUGAGUAGAGUGGCGCACGGGUGAGUAACACGUAGAUAAUCUGCCUUCAAGCCUGGGAUAACUAUUCGAAAGGAUAGCUAAUACCGGAUAAAGUCGGUUUACACAAGUAGAUUGAUGAAAGAUUGCCUCUUCUUGAAAGCAAUUGUUUGGGGAUGAGUUUGCGUACCAUUAGCUUGUUGGUGGGGUAAAGGCCUACCAAGGCAACGAUGGUUAGCUGGUCUGAGAGGAUGAUCAGCCACACUGGAACUGGAACACGGUCCAGACUCCUACGGGAGGCAGCAGUGAGGAAUUUUGCGCAAUGGGGGAAACCCUGACGCAGCAACGCCGCGUGAGUGAAGAAGGCCUUUGGGUCGUAAAGCUCUGUCAACUGGGAAGAAAUUAGAUUUCCAUUAAUAGUGGUUUCUAUUGACGGUACCAGUGGAGGAAGCGCCGGCUAACUCCGUGCCAGCAGCCGCGGUAACACGGGGGCGCAAGCGUUAUUCGGAAUUAUUGGGCGUAAAGGGCGCGCAGGCGGUCUUGUCCGUCAGGUGUGAAAGCUCGGGGCUCAACCCCGGAAGUGCACUUGAAACAGCAAGACUUGAAUACGGGAGAGGAGAGAGGAAUUCCUGGUGUAGAGGUGAAAUUCGUAGAUAUCAGGAGGAACACCGAUGGCGAAGGCAUCUCUCUGGACCGAUAUUGACGCUGAGGCGCGAAGGCGUGGGUAGCGAACGGGAUUAGAUACCCCGGUAGUCCACGCAGUAAACGUUGUACACUCGGUGUGGCGGAUAUUAAAAUCUGCUGUGCCUAAGCUAACGCAUUAAGUGUACCGCCUGGGAAGUACGGUCGCAAGACUAAAACUCAAAAGGAAUUGACGGGGCCCGCACAAGCGGUGGAGCAUGUGGUUUAAUUCGACGCAACGCGAAGAACCUUACCUGGGUUUGACAUCCUGUGAAUAUCCCGUAAUUGGGAUAGUGCCUUCGGGAGCACAGAGACAGGUGCUGCAUGGCUGUCGUCAGCUCGUGUCGUGAGAUGUUUGGUUAAGUCCAGCAACGAGCGCAACCCUUAUCGUUAGUUGCCAGCACAUAAUGGUGGGAACUCUAACGAGACUGCCCGGGUCAACCGGGAGGAAGGUGGGGAUGACGUCAAGUCCUCAUGGCCCUUAU